rnacentral:lncRNA from 1 species
AUGAUGUUGGCUCCAUUGCACUUAGUUAAGUCAUUCCCACCAUGCUUAGUUUGUGAAGGGGUUCAAGAAUAGCCUCACAAUGAUAUGAUGUUGGCCAUCCUCGUUGCCUACACUCACCUCAUCAAGUAUGUAUAUAGACUCCUCCUGAGUGUAAGCACGCACUUUGUACUCCCCCAUGAUAGGGUGAAGCCGGUGUACGAGUCACAAACGAUCGGAGCUACCACGGUGGAAGGCCACGAAAGAGUGUUCAAAGCACUCUCACGCUUAUCAACUUAAUAAUGGUUUGGUUGAGGGUUUUAGGUCUCAUCACAUAUAAACAUACAUUUUAAUCUCUAUUAAAACAAUUUUGGUCCUAUUACAACUAUUGGUCCAUAUGAUUGUUUUUAGUUGUUGUAUAUAAUAUUCCCACUAUGCUUAUAAAACGGUUUUUAAAGCAAGAGUAUAUGAUACUACUAACAUAAACUUUUGCAUUCAUUUGAUAGACUAUAUAGUUGCCUUAGGGCCUUAGGAUGACUAUGAACCUUUGUUUAGAUUCAACACGAGCCUUGUGU